rnacentral:rRNA from 1 species
AUUGAACGCUAGCGGGAUGCCUUACACAUGCAAGUCGAACGGAGUGGCGAACGGGUGAGUAAUGUAUAGGAACGUGCCCAGUAGCGGGGGAUAACUACGAGAAAGAGUAGCUAAUACCGAAUACUAUUCGAGAGGCCGAUAUCUGAUUAGCUAGUUGGUGGGGUAAGGGCUCACCAAGGCGACGAUCCGUAGCUGGUUUGAGAGGACGACCAGCCACACUGGGACGUAGACACGGCCCAGACUCCGACGGGAGGCAGCAGUGGGGAAUUUUGGACAAUGGGGGCAACCCUGAUCCAGCCAUGCCGCGUGUGUGAUGAAGGCCUUCGGGUUGUAAAGUACUUUUGGCAGGGAAGCGGUACCUAAAGAAUAAGCACCGGCUAACUACGUGCCAGCAGCCGCGGUAAUUC